ensembl:snRNA U6 U6 spliceosomal RNA
GUGCUUGCUUUGUCAGCAUAUAAGCUAAAAUUGGAACCAGAGAAACUUAACAUGGCUCUAGAGCAAGGAUGAAUGCAAAUUCAUGAAAUAGUUUAUAUUUUU